CGCGGGCGGGGGACCUGCGCGCUCUCCUCUCGCCAGAGGGCGCUGCCGAGGUGCCUUGUUGCCCCCGACCCUCUACUGCCCCGUCCGCAGAGGCCCACGGUCUAGGUUGUGGUGAUUGUUUUGGUUUGGGUGUUUUUUAGGGGGAUAAGGGGGCUGGGAAUAGAUCCUCCCUGUGGAGUUGGCGGGGAUUCCUCGUUUCUGCCCAAGCGCCGCGGAAUCCAGCACCACCGGCCUGGGACAGCGGCAGGACGCCGAGACAGGUGCCGGCCCCGGAUUAGAAACCCAAACGGAGAAUCCUAGAUGUUGCUCCUACUACAUUCGCCAUAAUUGGCCUGGUGGAAAUGGGAGAAAAAACUACUUCUCACAAAGAAUCAAUUCUGGGAACUGGAAAAAGCAUAUCAGACCAACUCAAAACGUCUCCAUUUGAGGCAAUGUAGUGCUGUGAAAGGAACGUAGGCAGAUUUGAGUUUCAGUGGCACAUCUGAAACUUAUCCGCAGAGACUCUAAGCAAUUAAAUUCUGAGACAUUCUUCUCUGUGCAGCGAGACUACUCAUGUCUUUCUCCCAGGGGAGUUGUAAGACUUAAAUGAGGUAAACCACGCAGCAGGGGAGCCUAACAGCUCCUUUAAUAGUCCCCCAACUCCAAAAGGGAAAGUCCUGUGUAUCUGCCACAGAAAUCUUGGACCAUAUUUCUACCAAUGGAAACUGACUCUCUGUCCCGGGCAUUCUUAUACCAAUUGAUCCGGAUCCCAAUUAAUAAUCGAUUCUUGAAAGAGAGAUAUUUUUCAAAUUUUCCUUUAUUUAGACUGUUUAGAUAGGGAUCUUGCCUUGAAAAAUGAUAUGCAUUUUAAAAAACUCUUCGCUUCAGUGCAGGGAAUUGAGUAAGUUUAACAGCCAUGUGUCCUCUGCACAUGCCAACUCCUUUUCACCUUCCACAAUGAGCUGAAGAAUCCUGAGGCCCUCACCAGAGGCAGAUGCCCAAUCUUGAACUUUC
rnacentral:lncRNA from 10 species